rnacentral:tRNA from 1 species
GGGGAAUUGGCGCAAUGGUAGCGCGUAGUGAGUGCAAAAACGACGACCUAAAAUACUCUUUCUAAUCAGUAGUUCAGGCUCUCCUAUUCAACACCUGUAGGCAAGCUAAGGCUGUGGGUUCGAGUCCCAUGUUCCUCG